rnacentral:sRNA from 1 species
GGCGGCAGGGAUGCGAUGGCGGAGUCGCUGCCCCUGGAGAUGCUCACAUAUAUUCUGAGCUUCCUGCCUCUGUCAGAUCAGAAAGAGGCCUCCCUCGUGAGCUGGGCUUGGUACCGUGCCGCCCAGAAUGCCCUUCGGGAGAGGCUGUGGCUACCCUGUGCUUCCAGCAACCAGGCCUUACCUCCCUGGACCUCAGUGGCUGCUCAGAACUGACUGAUGGGGCGCUCUUGGCCGUGAGCCGUGGCCUGCGGCACCUGCGGCGCCUGAGCCUGGGGAAGCUGCAGCGGCUGACAGACGCAGGAUGUACAGCUCUGGGUGGCCUGCAGGAGCUGCAGAGCCUCGACAUGGCCGAGUGCUGUCUGGUGAGAGGGCGGGAACUGGCCCAGGCCCUGAGCUCUGUGCACGGGGCUCCAUCCCAGCUGGCCUCCCUCAGCCUGGCCCACUGUUCUUCAUUGAAGGUGCUCCAGUUUCCCCAGCUGAGGCAGCUGUCCCUUAGCCUGUUGCCAGAACUCACAGACAACGGCUUGGUGGUUGUGGCCAGGGGCUGUCCUAGCCUGGAGCACUUGGCGCUGAGUCACUGCAGCCGCCUCAGUGACAAGGGCUGGGCCCAGGCAGCCAGCUCCUGGCCGAGGCUGCAGUAUCUCAAUCUGUCCAGCUGCAGUCAGCUCACAGAGCAGACACUGGAUGCCAUUGGGCAGGCGUGCAGGCAGCUCCGGGUGUUGGAUGUGGCCAUGUGCCCUGGCAUCAACAUGGCCGCCGUCAGACGCUUCCAAGCCCAGCUGCCCCAGGUGUCCUGCGUCCA